GGUAAAAGUUCUACCCUAUCUAAAGCACAUCUAGGGACUGAAUUUCAGAAAACAACUAAAAUAGGGAGUCGACUCCCUAACAAAUAACAACUAAGGAUGAUUUUCAACAAAUGCGAUUGGAUUUCUGGAUUAGCAGAAUCGGAACACACACACAUUAUCAGGUAUCCCUAACCUAGGAAGUAGAUGUUUUAAAAAGUGACGAUAAACAGCAGUAUUUGAAGAAAACUUCAUACAGUGGUUAGAGACAAGUGGAAAACACUGCACAUACUUACAGUAUGGAACUCCAAUUCUGAUAUUUUCUCUGGCUGACCUGAUCCAAAAAAAUAAACCCGAAUAAUAUGAUCCGUGCUUCCUGUGGCCAGAAACAUGCCACCUGAGGAGUAGGAGCAAACAUUUACUAUGGAGAUAAUGGCAGCAAAGACCUCUCCUUCCAACAUGAAACUGGAUCUCUUACACUGUAGGUAAUUCCUAACAACAACAAAAUUCUAUUUUGUGAAUCCCUCUUGGAAAUUUCGAAGUUUCAUGAAAAUAAAAAGUUUGAGAGGUAAAGUUCA